AAAAUCCAUGGUAAGUUCAUCCCAGACUCUUUGAGGUAUCGGUAGUGGUUGCAAGAGUCCCUUUUUCUUCUGUGUUACAUAUUUGUUUUGCUGACAAACUGUGCAAUGUUUUACCAUGGUUUUAACUCCGAUGUACAAUCCCGGCCACGAAAAUGAGGCAGAAACUCGUGCUAAUGUUGCUUUGACUUCGGAGUGGCCUGCGGCCGGUGUGGAAUGAAACUCCUGCAGGAUGUGUGUACGAAGUGCUGCAAUAUCAGAACUCUCGAAGUUUGGUAAGGAGAUCUGGAAUUGGGGAAGAAAUCGUCAUCAACACAGAAGUGUCGGAGAACUUUCUGCUCAAAGCAUCCGCAACGAGAUUCGAUUUCCCAGCAUACAUUUCUCGCACAUACACGGAGGAAGCUUGCAUCCUUGGACACAUCUUUUUGCUAAAGAAGGCUAUCGGGUGACCGUCUUGUGAUAACACUGCACCAAUGGCAACUCCUGAUGCGUCUGUCUCCACAAUAAAUGUCUUUUUAAAAUCUGGCAAGACAAGAACCGGCAUGUCGGUCAUCUUGGUCUUUAACUUUGUAAAGGCGUCUGAUGCCUCUGUACUCCAAAUAAAUCUAGUGGAACGCAAUAAAUCGGUGAGAGGAGCAGCGAGUGUGGCAUAGUUACGUACAAAGCGACGGUAGAAACCAGUGAGGCCCAAAAACCCGCGUAGAGCCGUGUGUGAACAAGGUUCUGGCCAAUCCAACAUGGCCUGAAUUUUUUCUGGAUCUGGGGCAACCUUCCCAGCAGAGAUAAAUUGACCAAGGUAAUGAACUUUAUCAACUGCAAAAACACACUUAGCCAUUUUUGCAACAAAAACAUUUGAUUUCAAAAGAUUAAAAACAAUCUGUAAGUGGGUUAAAUGAUCUUCAAAAGUGGGACUAUAAAUGAGUAUAUCAUAAAAAAAAACUAGAACAAACCGUCGUAAGUAGGGCCUCAAAAGGUCAUUCAUUGCUGAUUGAAAAGUAGAGGGGGCAUUAGUAAGCCCAAAUGGCAUUACGAGAAAUUCGUAAUGUCCAUUGAAAGUUCUGAAAGCAGUCUUAUAAGUAUCUUCCAAAGAAACUCUAAUCUGGUGAUAACCUGAGCGCAAAUCUAUGUUUGUGAAAAUUGAUGCAUUUCCCAACUCAUCAAGUAGUUCAUUGAUGGUAGGUAUAGGAAAAUGAUCUUUUACCGUUACUGCAUUUAGGGCUCGGUAGUCAACGCAAAACCUCCAACUACCAUCUUUUUUUUUACAAGUAAGACUGGUGAAGAAAAGGGGUUGUUGUUGGGUGUUAUAAUCCCAUCUCUUAACAUGUCUUUGAUGAUAGUGGUCAUAGCUUCUUUUUGAUAAUGGGGUAUCGGUAAGGUUUAACAUUGACAGGUUUUGUAUUUGGUAGGAGAGGGAUGUGAUGAUCAUGUGGUCUAGAGGGGGGGAGGCCUUGAGGUGCUUGAAAAAUUUCUGAAUGAUUUUCAAUGAGUGUUCGGACUUCAAGAGGAAUGGAUUGUGGGAGGCUGUCUAAGAGUGAUUGGGAGGGUUGGGAAGAGGAUUCUGGAAUAUUUUCAAAGGUCAUUAGAUGGAGUGAAGCAAUUGAGUUGGUAUGGACAAGUUGGCAUAGUUGAUUAAAGCUUGUAGGUGCUGGGUGGGUUUAUGGGUUACCUUUUAGAGUGAUUUGGGUAUUAUUGUGGGAAAAUGUGAUAGAGGGUAUUGAAAAAUCAGCUUGGAUGGGACCAAGGGUUCUCAACCAAGCAAUUCCCAAGACAACAUCAGCUCCUUCAAUUGGUAGCAAAUAAAAAGGUAAGGAAAAUUGUUGGUUUUGAAGGGUAAGGGGAACAUCUUGGUAGAUUCCUUUGCAUUUUAAAUGAGAGUCAUUGCCAACCAUAACAGAAAAUUGUGGAAUUUCAGAAGUUGGGAGAUUUAAAUGGUGUGCUAGGCGAGGUUGCAGAAUGUUGUGUGUGUUGCCUGUGUCAACCAGAACCAUGACAGGCAGUCCAUUAAUAAUUCCUUGGAAUUUAAGUGUUUGGGGAGAAAACUGCCCUGUUAACGCUUGGGGGAUAGUUGAAAAUAAGUGUUGGCAGAUUCCAAUGUGGCUGACUCGCCCUCAUUUAGAAUUUCACUAACUUGGUCUGAUUCUGUAAUAUCGUCCUCGGCUAGCAGCAGAAAGAAUUUUGUUGCACACUUGUGUCCCGGAAUAAAUUUGUCAUCACAAUUAAAACACAAGCCUUGGGCGCGACGCUCUUGAAGUUGGCUGUUUGUAAGUUUCCUAAUAGGGAGGCGGGUUGGUUGUGGGAUGGUUGGGGAUUUGAUAGUUGGGCUUGUUUGAGGUGCUGGAAGUAGUGUGGGGGGGUUUAUUGGUUGCUGGAUGGAAGGAUGACGUGGUGGGCCUGGUGAAAGGUUGGUUAUAGGGUUUAGAAUAUUUGGGCUUGGUUUCUUUAAGCUUGGAUUCAAUUAGCUUAGCAAGGCCAAUAGCUUGGGAGAUAGAUGUAGGUUUGUGAAUUGCCAAUUCAUUCUGAAUUUCCAUUGAUAAACCAGAAAUAAAACAAUUUAGGAUUGCUUCUUGAGGUAGCCCAACAACUUGAUUACCAAGUUUUUCAAACUUUGUUUGAUAUUCCGUAACAGACCCAUCUUGUUUCAAUUUAAACAAUUAUGCCUGAUGGUUCUCAAAAGUAGAAGGACCAAAACGUAAUUCCAAGGCUCCCACAAAAGAAAACCAAUCUGUCAAAUAAUGAUUUAAAUGCAUCCACUUAAACCAGGAUAAGGCAUCACCUUUCAUAUAAAAUGAGAUUAAUGAUAACCUAUUUUCAGGGGGUAAGUUAUAGAAACUGAAAAAUUGGUCAGCUUGAAAUAACCAAUCUAAGGGAUUUGACCCAUCAAACAUAGGUAACUCAAGCUUAGGAGAACGGGCAGUAGGUAAUGGGGGGAUUUGGGAAUUAAUAUGAAAUGGAA